rnacentral:rRNA from 1 species
AGCUAGAGUUUGAUCCUGGCUCAGGAUGAACGCUGGCGGCGUGCCUAACACAUUCAAGUCGAACGGUGAAGGGACUUCGGUCCCGGAUCAGUGGCGGACGGGUGAGUAACGCGUGAGCAACCUGCCUUUGCCCGGGGGAUAACAGCCGGAAACAGCUGCUAAUACCGCAUAACGUACGAUGUUCGCAUGGACGACGUACCAAAGAUUUAUCGGGCAAAGAUGGGCUCGCGUCCGAUUAGAUAGUUGGUGAGGUAACGGCUCACCAAGUCGACGAUCGGUAGCCGGACUGAGAGGUUGAACGGCCACAUUGGAACUGAGAUACGGUCCAGACUCCUACGGGAGGCAGCAGUGGGGAAUAUUGGGCAAUGGGCGAAAGCCUGACCCAGCGACGCCGCGUGAAGGAAGAAGGCCCUCGGGUUGUAAACUUCAGUCAACAGGGAAGAAGAAAGUGACGGUACCUGUGGAGGAAGCCACGGCUAACUACGUGCC